ensembl:lncRNA
AUGGGAAAUAAGCAAGACGAACUCCAACUCUUAGCACAGCACCACACAUACGAUGUCAUAGGCAUCACUGAAACCUGGUGGGAUGACUCCCAUCACUGGAAUGUAGCCAUUGAGGGCUAUAACCUCUUUCACAGAAAUAGAACAAAAAGGAGAGGAGGGGGAGUAGCUUUAUAUGUCAAAAACAGUUACGUUGCAGAAGAAAUGCAAGACUGUAAUCUGGGAAACCAGCUAGAAAGCAUCUGGAUAAGAAUCAAGGGAACCGGGACUCAAAAAGAUCUUGUUGUGGGUGUCUACUACAGACCUCCGAGUCAGGAUGAAGGACUUGAUGAAGCCUUCUGUCAACAGCUGACCAAACAGGCACAAAGAAGAGAUAUAGUAGUCAUGGGCGAUUUCAAUUAUUCCGAUAUCUGCUGGAAAACAAACUCAGCCAAGAGUACAAAGUCCAACAAAUUCCUCACUUGCCUUGCAGACAAUUUUAUGGUCCAGAAGGUAGAAGAGGCAACAAGAGGAUCAGCAACUCUUGAUCUAAUCUUAACAAAUGUGGAAGACCUGAUCAAUACAGUUGAAGUGGUUGGAUCCUUAGGGGCAAGUGACCAUGUGCUCCUGGAGUUUGCAAUACAAAGGAAUGCUGAAACUAAGACAAGUCAAACACGCAUUCUGGACUUUAAGAGAGCUGACUUCCAAAAAAUGAAGGAAUUACUGAGCGGCAUUCCAUGGACACCAAUAUUAAAAAACAAGGGAGUUAAGGAUGGAUGGGAGUUUUUCAAAAGUGAAAUACUCAAGGCGCAAAUGCAAACAGUGCCAACAAAGAAGAAAAAUAAGACAAGUGCAAAGAAGCCAGAAUGGAUGUCCAAAGAACUUCUAACUGAGCUAAAGCUCAAAAGUGACAUGCACAAGAAGUGGAAAAGGGGAGAAAUCACCAAAGAAGAAUUCAAACAUAUAGCCAACACCUGUAGGGAAAAGGUUCGCAAGGCUAAAGCACAAAAUGAGCUCAGGCUUGCCAGGGACAUAAAAAACAACAAAAAAGGCUUUUUUGCUUACGUUGGUAGAAAAAGGAAGAAAAAGGAGGCGAUGGGGCCUCUGCAAGGAGAAGAUGGGGUGAUGGCGACAGGGGACAGGGAAAAGGCAGAACUGCUCAAUGCCUUCUUUGCCUCGGUCUUCUCACAAAAAGAAAGCCAUCUUCAACCUCAGCAACAUGGAAUGGGCGAAGGAUUGGGGGAACUCCAACCCCAAAUAGGGAAACAAGUUGUCCAGGAACACCUGGCCUCUCUAAACGAAUUCAAGUCCCCAGGGCCAGAUCAGCUACAUCCAAGAGUAUUGAAGGAAUUAGCGGAAGUUAUUUCAGAACCGCUAGCAAUUAUCUUCGAGAGUUCUUGGAGACCGGGAGAAGUCCCAGCAGAUUGGAGGAGGGCGAAUGUGGUCCCUAUCUUCAAGAAGGGAAAAAAGAACGACCCAAACAAUUACCGUCCGGUCAGCCUCACAUCGAUACCAGGCAAGAUUCUGGAAAAGAUCAUCAAGGAAGUGGUCUGCGAACACUUAGAAACAAAUGCGGUCAUUGCUAAUAGUCAACACGGAUUUACCAAAAACAAGUCAUGCCAGACUAAUCUGAUCUCUUUUUUCGAUAGAGUUACGAGUUGGGUCGAUAGCUACAUCCACAGCAUUCCCUGUAUCGACCCAACUCGUAACUCUAUCGAAAAAAGAGAUCAGAUUAGUCUGGCAUGACUUGUUUUUGGUAAAUCCGUGUUGACUAUUAGCAAUGACCGCAUUUGUUUCUACGUGUUCGCAGACCACUUCCUUAAUGAUCUUUUCCAGAAUCUUGCCUGGUAUCGAUGUGAGGCUGACCGGACGGUAAUUGUUUGGGUCGUUCUUUUUUCCCUUCUUGAAGAUAGGGACCACAUUCGCCCUCCUCCAAUCUGAUGGGACUUCUCCCGUUCUCCAAGAACUCUCGAAGAUAAUUGCCAGUGAAAAAUGAAUUUACAGUAGCCACAUUGUUGGGAAUUAAAUCCAUAAAAAAUUCAAUCCUUGCUGCCUAGAGAAACAGCUGUGGAUCAGGGCGGGAGGCAAACGCCGUUGGAUAAUCUGGAAUGUUGGAUAAGUGAGUGUUGGAUAAGUGAGACUCCACUGUAGUUAUAUACAUUUUUUCUGUUUGCCUAUUACAAACGCCUCUUACCUUUCCUCCAACCAACCUAAGGUUUUGAUAUUUGGGUGUCUGUCAAUUUGAGUAAAUGUCCAAAGACUUUUGUUAGUUAGGAAGCAUAUUUACUUCCAAGUAAACAUGAGUUAGCAUCUUAAAUAAAAACAGAGUCCUUUGGGAAGCAUAAUGCUUUUUUGAAUAGAGAAAACAAUGUACCACAACUUUUUCAGGUAGUUCCUGAAUCUGUGUCUUUAACAGCAGUUCGAAAUGUAGAUAUGAGCAGGUGAUAAUAUGUACUUUUAAUUCACCUGCUAAUUUAUGCAUAUACCUUCAGCUGGUGUUAAAGGUACAAAACUACCUCUUGCCUCCCGCCGGCAACUUAUGAUCUGGUCAUUUGGCAAACCUAAUAGAGAAGUGGCUGAAAUGUGUGACAGGAAUGGACAAUACAUAGAAAACGCCUACUUGUUCUGACCAUUUCUCACCUGCAGAGAGUUUGAUCCAGUUCAUAUGUGACAAUGGUUUCAUGCAUAGAGCGUACAAAUGUCAAUUUCCAAAGCAAAGUUUGUCAGCUAAGCCUGUAAUUUCCAUUUAGAUUUGUUUCAUUUUUCAGAGCAUGGAAGUCACAGAGCGGAGAAUAUCUUGGCUUGUAAAGUCGCUUCUUAAAUAACAGGAACGGCAUUCGGAGGACUGCUUCACACCUGACAUUUUUCACAACGCUGAGGUAAACAAGUGUAGGAAAACAAAUCUCCAUCAUUUGAAGUGCAAUGCAAAGAAUUUUUUUUGUUAAAGCAUCUGUCAUUGGAUACUGACCCAGUUCCAUUAACCAAUUGCACACAUGUCGCACAAUUAAUCUUCCACCAUGAUUUUGAAUCAAUUCUUUCUCCAUCUCCACAUUACUCUUCCCAAUCCUUCUGAGUAAAAGCUGUCCAACUGUGUCAGUUUUUGCUUAUGCUGUUCAGAGUCAGGAGAAGGAAUGUCUGUGAAUUAAAUUUAUUAUAGGGCCACAAUCACUACCCUAUGUUGAGAAUGAGAUGGAUGAAUCUGAAUCUGCCAUUAUAACUAGAAAUUGUGGCAAUGGGAGGGGCAGUAGGUUGAAUGGUUUGUACUCAAAAAACAGCUCCUCAGACUGAGUUGAAGCCUGACAGUAUGGAAGAGGAAGGAUGGGAGAUGGCUCAUGCUGUGUGAAACAUAGAAAGUGUGCAAAAUGGCUCAUAUAGAGAGUUUAUAAAAUUAGAUGAGUGAUUUCCAGAGGGGAAACUAUAUUAAUCUGUUGCAGCUAAAGAAACAAUAGAAAAAGAAAGUUAAUGUCUAUAACAAAUAAGAUUUGUUACUCUUUAAAUUGCCAUAUUUUUAUCAUUCCAGCAAUUGGAUAAAGAAUUGUCCUCCUCUACAUUCCUCCCAUACACAUAAAUAUGUAUAGUUUUGGCAACAUUGUUGCUUUGAUCUGCACCCUUUAUCUUAUAUUUGGGGUGAACAUAGGUGUGGCAAGGGGGGGAGAUAAGGACAUUGCCCUUCCAAAUAAGAAUUCUAUCCACCCCAUGCAAAUAAUUUUCUUCAGUCCCUAAAUGUCUAGCAUUGUGGAGAGCGAGUCUCUUUCUACACUGCCCAGGGCCGACCCUAGGUAAUAUUCAAGUGUAAGCAAGCAGUAUUUUGCCCCCCCCCCCCCGCCAAACCAAUUACUGAAAAAUAAAAGGUAGAAGAUAGGGGUGAAUAGAAUAUGUGUGUGUAACACACACACAUAUAUAUGGCACAUAUGUUACCUGAAUAUGUGUUUAUAUGUGUGUGGGGGUGUGUAUGUAUAUAUAUCUUAUAUAUACAUACACAGACACACAAUGU